AGAGACGCAUGUGGCUCCGGAGCCGCAGGUUGCAGACCCCUGGUCUAGACCAAGAAAUGCUUCUUCAGGGGAAACACUGGACACUUUGGAAGUGCUCAGAGUUGACGUGUGAUGGAAAUGGAGAACGCUGAUAAAGACGGCAUAGAUUUCUCAGUGAUGGGCAGCAACAUGAGCCAGAUCUUUGCUGCGAGAAGUCUUGAGAUUGUUAAUUCAAGUCCCUCUGUGGUGCAUGUCCUGGAAAGAUGGCCAGCUCUUUUCCUGGAACACCAGGUACAUAAACCUCAUGUUUUUAUAUAGA